ensembl:lncRNA
CACUUUCUUGCACUGAGGUCUGCUUAUUGUAAAUAUCCUGUACUUGUUUUUACACCUUUAAAUUGACCUUUGACCUUUUCAGUGUUGGAAAGACACUUUCUUGCACUGAGUUCUGCUUAUUGUAAAUAUCCUGUACUUCUUUUUACACCUUUAAAGUUGACCUUUGACCUUUUUAGUGUUGGAAUUACACUUUCUUGCACUGAGGUCUGCUUAUUGCAAAUAUCCUGUACUUGUUUUUACACCUUUAAAGUUGACCUUUGACCUUUUUAGUGUUGGAAAUACACUUUCUUGCACUGAGGUCUGCUUAUUGUAAAUAUCCUGUACUUGUUUUUACACCUUUAAAGUUGACCUUUGACCUUUUUAGUGUUGGAAAGACACUUUCUUGCACUGAGGUCUGCUUAUUGUAAAUAUCCUGUACUUGUUUUUACACCUUUAAAGUUGACCUUUGACCUUUUCAGUGUUGGAAAGACACUUUCUUGCACUGAGGUCUGCUUAUU